rnacentral:lncRNA from 1 species
GCAGAAGUUGUGCUUUCAAUACUUAAAGUGCUCCGUGAUGCACCACAGUGCAUCUAAGGUGCUCUAAAUACUCCAGGCUGUGAUACUUUGUGUAUCUCUGAACAGGCCCCAUUAAUGCACCUCUUGUUUUUUUAUCUGUGUGUGCCUCAGUUCCACCUGAAAGAAGAGGGUGGGAGGGGGCAUACAAGGAAAAUUAAUUUAUCUUAUCACGGCACAAUGUAGGAAAAGUAAUGCGGGAGACCCACGGAUAAUACACUGAUGAACAUCCUUGCAACAUCCAUGAUGAAACUAUUGACUGUCUUCUUGACAAUCUACCUUGCUUGGACUAGUAUCAGCCACCUACAGGUUCUUCAGUGUUCCUCACAAAGAGUGCCUUGCAUUAGUCAUAGCCGUAUGCAUGAAAGAUGGCAAUCAUUCACACAAUAACUCAUCCCAGGCUUUCUAGACUGCACAGUCCAGUGGUUCAAGCUGUAGAAAGCACAAGAUUUAGCAUGAGUCACUCAGCAUUUCUACACGUCAGUCACCAGUUCCCCCUUCUAAACCUCAGUUCCUUUAAUUCCCCCAUCCUCUUUACCCCUUCCUGAGCAAGCAGCAUCAGUCUAGAGCUCAGAUCCGGUUGACUGGUGGUCUCAUGACGUGGUCUGAUGAUUGCUGCAUCCUUCAUACGGUUUCCAAAAGUUACAAUCAUACAAUGUUUUGUGGCUUGGUGCUGGUACACGACAACAAGAUCCUCUGCCUGCUUGCAGGUGCUUGCUGUGAGGAGACAACCGCUACUUUGUGCACCAUCUAGUAUUUGUGCACCAUCUGACAUUCUAGUUUUUGGGAAGAAACUCCAUCCCAGCCAGACCCAACACAGAGACUUGCAGCUACAUUUCUCUCUCUCUCUCUCUCUAUUUUUUUUUUCCCGUGUUGAUAGUGAUACCUUCUGUAUCUUUUAUGCAUUGGAUUACCUUUUGCUGCGUGUAGCCGUUCUGGACCCUUUUUGACUUUCACAGAAUUAACUAAGCUAGACACAAAAUUAAAAGUAGAGUUAAAAUUGGCCUCCUUUUCCUUUCAGAAUGAGCUGUUCGCUUGAACCAUGACUCAUCAUGGCUCGCAGUCACACCCAAGCGAACGAUGAACGGACUGGCCAAUCGCUCAGGAACGGGAGGAAAUCCAGAUAGGCACAGCAGAUGGGCUAAGAUUGGCUGCCUCCUCUUGCUGGAUCACCGCGGUGACAUACAUGUUUGUAAUCACUCCAGCUUCUCGACUGAGGCUCCAGCUUGGUAAUCACUACCAGAAACUGAACAGCUUCUGUUGUGGGGCAUUUAAUUUGCAGUUCUAAACAGAAGCAGGCUCUGAAUCAAUUUUUGUUCUGUUAUGACAAAUGGGAAAGCACACAACCUCA